rnacentral:rRNA from 1 species
UGGGGAAUAUUGGACAAUGGGCGAAAGCCUGAUCCAGCAAUGCCGCGUGAGUGAUGAAGGCCUUAGGGUUGUAAAGCUCUUUUACCAGGGAUGAUAAUGACGGUACUCGGAGAAGAAGCUCCGGCUAACUUCGUGCCAGCAGCCGCGGUAAUACGAAGGGGGCUAGCGUUGUUCGGAUUUACUGGGCGUAAAGCGCGUGUAGGCGGGUCGUUAAGUUGGGGGUGAAAUCCCGAGGCUCAACCUCGGAACUGCCUUCAAAACUGGCGACCUGGACCUAAGUAGAGGCAAGUGGAAUUGCGAGUGUAGAGGUGAAAUUCGUAGAUAUUCGCAGGAACACCAGUGGCGAAGGCGACUUGCUGGACUUAUGGUGACGCUGAGACGCGAAAGCGUGGGGAGCAAACAGGAUUAGAUACCCCAGUAGUCCCUGAGCGGGCUGGCAAGGCGCAU